GAUCCGGUAGCUCAGUCGGUAGAGCACGUGACUUUUAAUCAUGUGGCCGUGGGUUCGAGUCCCACCCGGAUCACCA
rnacentral:tRNA from 3 species